rnacentral:rRNA from 1 species
UACGUAGGGUGCAGGCGUUAAUCGGAAUUACUGGGCGUAAAGCGUGCGCAGGCGGUCUGCUAAGAGAGGUGUGAAAUCCCCGGGCUUAACCUGGGAACUGCGCUUCUAACUGGCAGGCUAGAGUGUGGCAGAGGGGGGUGGAAUUCCACGUGUAGCAGUGAAAUGCGUAGAGAUGUGGAGGAACACCGAUGGCGAAGGCAGCCCCCUGGGCUAACACUGACGCUCAUGCACGAAAGCGUGGGGAGCAACAGG